UACGUAGGGUGCAAGCGUUGUCCGGAAUUAUUGGCGUAAAGGGCUCGUAGGCGGUCCAUCGCGUCGGGAGUGAAAAGCUGGGCUCAACCCCAGUCCUGCUUCCGAUACGGGUGGACUAGAGGUAGGCAGGGGAGAACGGAAGUUCCUGGAUGUAGCGGUGAAAUGCGCAGAGUAUCAGGAGGAACACCGGUGGCGAAGGCGGUUCUCUGGGCCUUACCUGACGCUGGAGGAGCGGAAAGCCGUGGGGAGCAAACACGG
rnacentral:rRNA from 1 species